rnacentral:pre_miRNA from 1 species
UCUUCAUUCUCCAUGCUCUCUCGUCGGUCAGUGCACCGAGAUAGUAUGCGAAAUGGAGAGA